rnacentral:rRNA from 1 species
UUAAAAAGCUCGUANNUGAACUUUGGGCCUGGCUGAUCUGUCCUCCUAAUCGAGCGCACGGAUUCAGUCGGGCCUUUCCUCCUGGGGAACCCGAUGCCCUUCAGUGGGCGUCGUGGGGAACCAGGACUUUUACCUUGAAAAAAUUAGAGUGUUCAAAGCAGGCCUUUGCUCGAAUACAUUAGCAUGGAAUAAUAGAAUAGGACAUCGGUUCUAUUUUGUUGGUUUCUAGGACCGCUGUAAUGAUUAAUAGGGAUAGUCGGGGG